UAAGUAGGUCCCGAGCGUUGUCCGGAUUUAUUGGGCGUAAAGCGAGCGCAGGUGGUUUAUUAAGUCUGGUGUAAAAGGCAGUGGCUCAACCAUUGUAUGCAUUGGAAACUGGUAGACUUGAGUGCAGGAGAGGAGAGUGGAAUUCCAUGUGUAGCGGUGAAAUGCGUAGAUAUAUGGAGGAACACCGGUGGCGAAAGCGGCUCUCUGGCCUGUAACUGACACUGAGGCUCGAAAGCGUGGGGAGCAAACAGG
rnacentral:rRNA from 1 species